GACGAACGCUGGCGGCGUGCCUAAUACAUGCAAGUUGAGCGCUGAAGGUUGGUACUUGUACCAACUGGAUGAGCAGCGAACGGGUGAGUAACGCGUGGGGAAUCUGCCUUUGAGCGGGAGACAACAUUUGGAAACGAAUGCUAAUACCGCAUAAAAACUUUAAACACAAGUUUUAAGUUUGAAAGAUGCAAUUGCAUCACUCAAAGAUGAUCCCGCGUUGUAUUAGCUAGUUGGUGAGGUAAAGGCUCACCAAGGCGAUGAUACAUAGCCGACCUGAGAGGGUGAUCGGCCACAUUGGGACUGAGACACGGCCCAAACGCCUACGGGAGGCAGCAGUAGGGAAUCUUCGGCAAUGGACGAAAGUCUGACCGAGCAACGCCGCGUGAGUGAAGAAGGUUUUCGGAUCGUAAAACUCUGUUGGUAGAGAAGAACGUUGGUGAGAGUGGAAAGCUCAUCAAGUGACGGUAACUACCCAGAAAGGGACGGCUAACUACGU
rnacentral:rRNA from 1 species